rnacentral:rRNA from 1 species
CCUACGGGAGGCAGCAGUGGGGACUUUUCCGCAAUGGGCGCAAGCCUGACGGAGCAACGCCGCGUGAGGGAUGAAGGCCUCUGGGCUGUAAACCUCUUUUCUCAAGGAAGAAGACCUGACGGUACUUGAGGAAUAAGCCACGGCUAAUUCCGUGCCAGCAGCCGCGGUAAUACGGGAGUGGCAAGCGUUAUCCGGAAUUAUUGGGCGUAAAGCGUCCGCAGGCGGCCUAUUAAGUCUGUCGUUAAAGCGUGGAGCUCAACUCCAUUUAAGCGAUGGAAACUGGAAGGCUAGAGUGUGGUAGGGGCAGAGGGAAUUCCCGGUGUAGCGGUGAAAUGCGUAGAUAUCGGGAAGAACACCAGUGGCGAAGGCGCUCUGCUGGGCCAUAACUGACGCUCAUGGACGAAAGCCAGGGGAGCGAAAGGGAUUAGAUACCCCUGUAGUCCUGGCCGUAAACGAUGAACACUAGGUGUCGGGGGAAUCGACCCCCUCGGUGUCGUAGCUAACGCGUUAAGUGUUCCGCCUGGGGAGUACGCACGCAGUGUGAAACUUAAAGGAAUUGACGG